rnacentral:rRNA from 1 species
UACGGGGGGAGCAAGCGUUGUUCGGAUUUACUGGGCGUAAAGGGCGCGUAGGCGGUCAGCACAAGUCAGUUGUGAAAUCUCCGGGCUUAACUCGGAAAGGUCAACUGAUACUGUGCGACUAGAGUGCAGAAGGGGCAACUGGAAUUCUCGGUGUAGCGGUGAAAUGCGUAGAGAUAUGGAGGAACACCAGUGGCGAAGGCGACUUUCUGGUCUGUAACUGACACUGAGGCGCGAAAGCGUGGGGAGCAAACAGG